GAAUAAGGGUAAAUAUGUCAUUCAAAAAAAUCAAAGGCUAGCUUCUAGGAAAUUGCACAUUUAAUCUGCGAAAAGUUAAAAGGGAACAAACAACAAUCGUCAGAUGUCUUAUAUAUAAGUGAAGUAGUAACUUAAAGCAGUCAUUAGCUAUAAGUGCUUCAAAAUCACAACCCCAAUCACAUCAUCAUCAUCAUCUUCAAUCAAACAGUUCUGAGUUUCCGCCAUGUCUGCAAUCCCUAACUUUCUUUCAAGCUCCAAAUCGACCCUUCGUUGCUGCAGCAAGUCUCAGAAUCCUCGAGAAAAACCCAGUUUCAAAACCCGUUGUUCCUCGAUGGCGAAGCAACAGAAAACUAGGUUUUACAUCCUCAGACGUUGUAUCACUAUGCUUUUGUGUUGGCAUGAACCCUCAUGAGAUCAUCAUCGUCGUCUUCGUUACUGUUUCAGUUGAUCGCCUCUAGUUUAGUUAGUUAGUUUAAGAGACAAAACAUAACCCUGUUUUCUUUUCGGACAUAGUUAGAGGACAAAACUGGGUUUCGAGAUUGAGGAGAGCUGUGGGAUAUUUGAGGAGGAAAAGUUCGUGAAAUUCAAGUGUUGCCGCUGCCGGCGGCGAUGUUUUCUUCAUCUCGAUAUCCUGGGAAACUUAGAUUAGUUAUAGGAUUAGGAUGGGAUUGAAGAAAAAGAGAUUUUCGAGGGGCAUUUUUUUGAUAAAUACAAAGUGUAACUUCCUUAAUUUUUACAAGUAGUUAAAAGGUAUAUUUUCUCAUAUUGCACUGAUAAAGUUAAAAAGUUUUAUUGCCGAUCACAAAUUCUAAUUUUCGUAUCUGAUUCCAUUCUUCUAUUAACACUAGAGAAUCUAGAAAAAGAAAAUCAAAUUCUAAUACUCAGCGUCUUCCACUGUAGAGAAGAGGUGUUUAUGGGCUGGGCUGUCUAUUUAUCUCUAUUUGCUCGAUUCAAGAUGGACCGGACUUGGGUUUACAUCGCUUAUUCUACGGCUGAUUGAGAUGGAUUAAGCUUGAGCCUGAGUUUGGAAAUUUUCUAAAUUGGAUUGUGAUCAGUCUUGGUUUAUGAACAUCUUUACUCCAAAGUGUUUCCAAAUACAUGAAAAAAAAUUGUUGUUUGAUCGAUGGAAUUUAA